UUUGAUCCUGGCUCAGGAUGAACGCUAGCGGCGGGCCUAAUACAUGCAAGUCGAACGGGAUUGUUGGUAGCAAUACUGACAUGAGAGUGGCGCACGGGUGCGUAACACGUAUGUAACCUACCUUUAACUGGAGAAUAGCUCCGAGAAAUCGAAAUUAAUACUCCAUAAUAUAAAGAAAAGGCAUCUUUUUUUCAUCAAAGUUCCGACGGUUAUUGAUGGACAUGCGGUGCAUUAGCUUGUUGGUGAGGUAACGGCUCACCAAGGCUACGAUGCAUAGGGGGUCUGAGAGGAUGAUCCCCCACACUGGUACUGAGACACGGACCAGACUCCUACGGGAGGCAGCAGUAGGGAAUAUUGGGCAAUGGACGCAAGUCUGACCCAGCCACGCCGCGUGAAGGAUGACGGCCCUAUGGGUUGUAAACUUCUUUUGUAUGGGAAGAACCCCUUCUACGUGUAGAAGGCUGACGGUACCAUAAGAAUAAGCAUCGGCUAACUCCGUGCCAGCAGCCGCGGUAAUACGGAGGAUGCAAGCGUUGUCCGGAUUCAUUGGGUUUAAAGGGUGCGUAGGCGGAGAAUUAAGUCAGUGGUGAAAGCUUACAGCUUAACUGUAAAAAUGCCAUUGAAACUGAUUUUCUUGAGUUCGAUUGAGGUAGAUGGAAUGUAUCAUGUAGCGGUGAAAUGCUUAGAUAUGAUACAGAACACCAAUUGCGAAGGCAGUCUACUAAGUCGAUACUGACGCUGAGGCACGAAAGCAUGGGGAGCAAACAGGAUUAGAUACCCUGGUAGUCCGUGCCCUAAACGUUGAUUACUCGUUGUUGGCGAUACACUGUCAGCGACUAAGCGAAAGCGUUAAGUAAUCCACCUGGGGAGUACGAUCGCAAGUUGAACUCAAAGGAAUUUGACGGGGGCCGCACAAGCGUGGAGCAUGUGGUUUAAUCGAUGAUACGCGAAGACUACAGCUUGAAAGUAGUGACCGCUGCCGAAAGUGGCUUCCCCU
rnacentral:rRNA from 1 species